rnacentral:piRNA from 1 species
UAGAAACUUAGAGGUAGCACAUUCUCUUC